UAUGAGCCCUAUUUCUGCUGAAGUAAUACCACCUCUACCGUAAAGGAAUGGGUUCGACACCCUACGAAUACUAUUAAAUUUCAAACGUUAUCGAAGGAAUGACAUGAGGCCAUGCUGGCAGUAGGCUCAUCCCCGAGAUGCCUAAACCUGAACCAAUACCAUCUAGUAGUACAUUUAUUCUGGAAACACAACAUUAAUGGAACAAGAACGAAGAAGUGUCCUGGGGAAGAGCUGACGAGGGAAUUCUACAUCUGUAACUGUUAAAAGUUCUAGAUACUGAAGAAACU